UGUGGGCUGAACAGUGCCAGGCAAGCAGUGGCAUAGAAGCUGUUUGGUCUUGGUGGGGUGCAGAGGGAGGCGGGUGAUGGGGCAAGCGGUGAUGAGGCUGAAGAUAGCGGUAGGAACUAAGGGUUGUUGACAGUGGGCUUCUGCAGGAUGGGAUAUUCAAGUGGGUGGGGGCUGGGACCGAGAGGAAGCAGAAGGAAUUGAGGGGUGGUUGAGCGUGUAUGGACUCAGGUGGGUUCCCUGGGGGUCACUCUAGGACACAUUAAACCCAAGUGACCCCUUCUGUUUCCCUGGGCUUCUGAGAGCUGAGUGGGUUGGAAAGGGGAACAGACACAGAGCUGGGGAGAGGGGUAAAAAAAAUGGGGGCUGGGCGGUGGUGGCGCAUGCCUUUAAUCACAUACUCAGGAGGCAGAGGCAGGCAGAUCUCUGUGAGUUUGAGACCGGCCUGGUCUACAAGAGCUAGUUCUGGGACAGACUUCAAAGCUACAGAGAAACCCUGUCUCGAAAAAUCAAAAAAGGAAAAAAGAAGCUAGGAGCAGCAGGGGGCUUCUGGAGGAGGGAGGCUGGGACCAGCGUGUGGCUGGAGUGUUGGCCACACAUUUCCUAGCCAGAGAUGCCUACUGCCCUUGAGUUUACCUCCAGGGCUCACAGCCUCCCCUGGGCACACCCAAAGAUGGCAGGGGGAAUAGAUGGUGGGAGGCAAACUUAGGGAGGGACGUGGCUUUAAGAACCUUUCCUAUGUAGCCAGGUCUUACCUACUAAAUCGUCAGAAUAAACAUCUGUCUGAGGGGUGGCUCCACGAUUUCCUAAGAACCUGUCUACUUCCUCUUUCCUGGAAGCCAGAAGUAUUUUCUUCUGUGAAGAAAAUAAAAUUAAAGCUAGCUAUUGUACUGUACACACAGUAGUGGUCACUAGGCACUCGGUGGACCCUCAGAUGACCUCCUGGAGAGUGUACCACUGUUCUCCCUUGAUGGGAGAAGCUGAUCGUAAGAAGACAGCGACCCGCCUUAGGGCGUACUGGGCAGCUAGACUAUUGAGGCUGUUGUCAUGGCCUGCCAUGUGAGACUUGCUGUGAGGUUCUUUUAUCUCCGGCACAGGCUGCACACAUGCUGGUGUGGUUAGGGAAAUUUUAUUAUCUUCACUUCAUGAACGAAGCUGCUGGGAACACGAGGAGGCUCGCGUGUAGUCACCCAGGGAGUAAAUGGUAGCGAAGGAUUUGAAACAGAGGCUCUGUGAGAACUGAAUCUGAGCUGCAGGAGCUGGAACUGGGAGCAGCUGCCGCAGGCAUCCCUAUCCAACUCCUGUUGACCGUCUCUCAGGGCAUCAGACUUCUGAUCCCAGCUGUAGAGCAUCGCUGCCCAACUCUGUUAUUGUGGACAUUGGCUCCACCCAGUGGCGAGAAAUUGCAUUUCAGCAGAUCAUCGUUAAAGUGGAGGCUUUCGGCCACUGGCUGCCUAUGACUCCCUGGAUAUCGAAGAAGACAGGAGCAAGGUUUUUUUCUCUGCCUCAGUCCUUGCCAUAGAUAUGGCUGAAGGUUGACUCACUCCAUCCUUCUAUAUGGAUCUGAAGGGAGGUUGGGUACUGUGCCCUUGUGUCCAGUGUCUGCCUUUCAAAGUCCCCCUUCAGGGCACUGUCCUCGUGCCAUGCAGAAGCCUCUCCUGUCAACUCACACCAGUGCCGCCUGCUUGGCAGGUAGACCCUCAGUCACAGAAAAAGCACCCGCAACUUCUCUGUGUCCACUAGGAACCCAGGGCGUGUGGCCUCCCCUUUAGCCUGGGACCCACUCUCCGGGAGGAAAGAAACGGCCAUGCUGGUUCUGAGAAGCACUUGUUUGGGGUUCUGUGCCCUUUUCAGCUUUAGCCACUGGUUGCAGUAAAGAUGUACUCUGUCAGGGGAUGGGGGAUGGGUGGCUUAUUAGCUAAGAGUGCUCAUUGCUCUUCAGAGGACCUGCAUUGGUUCCAGCACCCACCUGGGUGGCUCAUGAUUGUUUGCAAUUCCAGCUCAAGGGGUCCAGUGACCUCUCCUGGCCUCCCUAGGCACCCUUACAUAUGUGGCACAUAGAGACAUAUGUAUGCAUAGAAAAUAAAAAUAAGUCUUAAAAAAUAGUACUCUUGUCACAUGAAGUGACAUGAUGUUGCUUCUGGGUCCCCGUUUUGACUUCCCAAAUCCUUUGCCACCAAGGUACCGCUGAGGCUUAAGUGUGUAUGUAUGUAAGGGCAUGGUGUGUGUAUGGUGUGUGUGUGUUUGUGUGUGUGUGCUGUAUGUAUGUAUGUAUAUAUGAGUCAGGUAUGUGUGUGUGGUGUGAUGGUGUGAGUGUGUGUAUGUGGUUUGUGUGUGUGUGUGUGUGUGUGGUGUGGGUAAAGACACAGUGUGUGUGGUGUAUGUAUAUAUGUGAGUCUGGUAUGUGUGUGGGGCGUGUAAGGGCACAGUGUGUGUAUGGUGUAUGCGUAUGUAUAUAUGUGGUGUGUGUAUGUAGUGUGUGUAUGUGUGUGCAGUGUGUGUAUGUGUAUGUGCAGUGUAUGUAGUGUGUGUAAGAGUACAGUAUGUGUGUGUACAUAGGACUCCGGGUCUGCUCACUAAGGAGCUCAGUACUGGGCAUCCUCAGAGGCCCACGUGAGCAUGAUAGUUAGAAAAAAUGCUUGGUCCUAAAAUAAGAAUUCUGCCCAAAUGGAAAACCAAUAAAUUCCUAAUGAAAUAGCCAACUGUAACAUUUUAUCAACCUCAUUAAUUCUUAAAUUUAGUAUCCAUAAAAGUUUCAUUACAUUUGAAAGAAUGUGUGGGCUAGGUUUCUCUUUGUGGAGUCCCAAUUACAAAGCAGCUGCUUCUAGCUGAAUAGUUUCAGAGAAAAAUUGUAACUAUCCUUAGAAAAACAACAACUUUAGAGCAAAGUUUAGUAUUUUAUUUAGCACAUGCCUUGAUGGGGAGGGAAGUGGUCCAGAGUUCAAAAGCCCAGGCUUACAGGGAUGCUGAGCUAUCAGUAUCUGUGAAGGAGACAGGUGGACCAUCAGGGAGUGGGUACAGAGAUGGUGUCCUCCUUGCAUCCUGGCAGCAGUGUGCUGCUGUGACCGUUCACCUUGUUGGGGAGCAAGGAGGUGCUGAGCAGGGCCGGUGACUGAAGAUCAGUGCUUAGGCUGCAGGUCAACCCAUGGGAAAUUCAGGUUGCCACGUUGUGCCCAUAACACUUGUUCUCAACUCCAGCAGAAGUUGCUCCCUCAAAGAGUCUCGCAAGGACUUUGUAAGAAAUCGACAUCUCCUGCCUUCCCUAUCUUCUUUGGAUCGGUGAUUCAGAAAUUUGAGCUCACAUUUCCUAAACCGCCAUUGCUAAGACUCCAAAUAAAGUCCAUUGACGUUUUCUGUCUCUG